GAUGAACGCUGGCGGCGCGCCUAACACAUGCCAGUCGAACGGUUAAAGCACCUUUUAGGUGUGUAUAAAGUGGCGAACGGCUGAGUAACACGUGGGCAACCUGCCCUCCUCUUGGGGAUAGCCUCGGGAAACCGAGGAUAAUACCCGAUACUUCAAUGCGGCCGCAUGACGACAUUGAGAAAGCUUUUGCGGAGAAGGAUGGGCCCGCGGCCUGUUAGCUUGUUGGUGGGGUAGAGGCCUACCAAGGCAAUGAUGGGUAGCUGGGUUGAGAGACCGACCAGCCAGAUUGGGACUGAGACACGGCCCAGACUCCUACGGGAGGCAGCAGUGGGGAAUCUUGCACAAUGGGCGAAAGCCUGAUGCAGCGACGCCGCGUGCGGGACGAAGGCCUUCGGGUUGUAAACCGCUUUCAGCAGGGACGAGGCGAUAAGUGACGGUACCUGCAGAAGAAGCCCCGGCUAACUACGUG
rnacentral:rRNA from 1 species